UACGGGGGGGGCAAGCGUUGUUCGGAAUUACGGAGCGUAAAGGGCUCGUAGGUGGCCAACUAAGUCAGACGUGAAAUCCCUCGGCUUAACCGGGGAACUGCGUCUGAUACUGGAUGGCUUGAGUUUGGGAGAGGGAUGCGGAAUUCCAGGUGUAGCGGUGAAAUGCGUAGAUAUCUGGAGGAACACCGGUGGCGAAGGCGGCAUCCUGGACCAACACUGACACUGAGGAGCGAAAGCCAGGGGAGCAAACGGG
rnacentral:rRNA from 1 species